rnacentral:lncRNA from 1 species
UUUUUUAAAGAGCUUUUUUUUUUUUAAAGGUUUACGAAAGAUCCCAAACAAUGGUGGUGUCCAACAUGAGGAAAAAUUUCAUGAGUUUAUUUAAUGGCUCGUCUUAAGUCCCCUGCCAGUAAGUGUUAGGUACAUUUUCAAUAUCACUCCUUCCUGGAGAUGGAACUCAAUAAUUUGACACCAGAUGCGUCAGACAUUUCUGCACAAGGAAUUACUGAAGCCGAUCCAAGUACUAUUACAACAUUUCAUUACCGUAUUCCAGGAUAACCUGCCAAUUUCACCUCUUGUCCUUCAACUUUGUCAUUCAUCAUCCUUAAUGAUGCAGUUUCCCAGCCUUGGAAGGAGCAGCUGUUGUUAGGCAGCUAUAGGAUCCCGUCUUCGGUUCACGCUUCUCAGGUGGCAUUGCCUCACUCAGAGUGUGUUGGGGAACAGAGGCAACGCACAGAUGUUUAAGUUCCACACCCUUUAGUAUCAUCGAUUAGAUCGUUUAGACAGGAGGGUUUGGAAGUUCUCAGCACACCGUGCAUGGAAAUUUGCAGUGAUCCUCAAUUUCUUUUUUCUUUUUUUCCUUGUUUUUCAUUUAUAGUGACUUUUAUUUUUUUUCCAUUAUAGUUGGUUUACAGUGUUCUGUCAAUUUUCCACUUCCUUUCUAAUAACAUAUGAUCGUGUUUAUACAUCCUUCCACACUUUCAUCUCUAGCGAGGGCUCCAGAAACCUUAUAGCAACAAAGAUGGAUGUAAACUCGGAACCCCCGCCUAACUUUAGGUAUGAGGCAGAUCUGAAAGCAGUGGUUUCAAGGCAUUUUCAGAGGUAGUGGUAAAACAGCCAGAACAUGGAAUAUGAGUCGUAAAAUCCAUUUGGUAGAAAUAGAACAAAAUGAUAAAUUGUUGCUUUCAUUUCCAAGUGAUUUAGUAUUUAUAAAAUAUGCCUAUAAUUUCUUUGUAAUGCAAUUUAUUGUGUUUCUGAAUAAAAAGGUUAACUAAGCCUUUGAAUAAUUUUAGAACUAAUAGUAUAUAUUUUAAAAAUGUUUUCCAACUGUUUAGCCUAUAGAAAAAUUGUUCUACGGAGAACUAAAGAAAACAUCCAACUAAAUGGAUGAUAUUUUCUUCUUUCCACCCACCCCUCAGCUUUAUCAAAAGGGAUUCUAAUAUCAACCACAGAUAUUGUAAGCCACAGCUUCCCAUAUCAACUGUAAUAUCUAAAUAAUACUUUAGAUAUUAUAUAGCUAUAACAUCUAUAGGAAAUAUAUGUAUUUAUAUAGAUAUGUUUAGAGAUAUAAACACAACUAUAGGAUUACUUGUUCUUAUAAUUUUCUUCAUAAGUUGCAGCUUUUACAAAAUUUAUCCACCUGAGUUGACUAAUUUAUGGGCAUAAAGUAAUAAUCCAAUAUUAAAAUUUCACUUCUGUCACUGUCUCUACAGUACUUCUAGAAUGUCCCUGUGAGGGAUUUGACCCAUUUUUCUUCACUGAAGCAACCACUUAACUUGUGAAAAUUAUUUUUUAAAAAUAUGCAAAGUAUCUGGAAAUUGAUCUAAGAAUAUGAAGUAAAUAGAGAAACAUUAUUCAAAGAACAAAUCUGUUAUAUCUCAGUAAGAACAAGAAUCUAGUGCAUUUGAGCCCUGAGUUGCUCCUAGUCUCCCUCCACCCAGCUCUGCGAUGGAAGCUGUCCUCAGCCUUCAGCCUGUGGCUUGGUCUUACCCUGAGAAGAGCAGGGCAUGGGUGCCUCUCAUCCUUCCAUCCCACCUCCCAGCUCUAGGCAAUAGAAGUCCUAUUCUGGGUUGGCAUAGCCUAGAGGACCCAUCUCCCUUUCUUCACCCAGCUCUUAGGGCAGAAUCUCUAUGCUAGUUUCAUCUUGCCCAUCAAUUAUUGGGGCCUGAUGGUCCCCCGCCCCAUAUCUCCCAUGCCCAUAGGCCAGAGAAUCUAUGCUGAGAGGGCAGGUCUAUAAGACCAAAAGUGUCUGUAGAGGUGUCACACCAUGAGAAGUAGGCCACUGUUCCCACUCCCAGCUAUAGUACAGUGAUGCUGAGCUUCUGCCCAGGGAGGAGAGAGAAACUGUAAGCAUUGCAAGCUCCAGAGCAGUAUCUGAGAGGACUGACUUUAUUUGGAACAGAAUGCAGAGAACACCACGUCUAAGGGCAUUCAUUGUCAAAGACAAUGGAGAACUUGACAGAGAGCAAUUAAAAGGAGUGUUCUAACUCUGUGAAACAAGAAAAAUAAGAGUGCAGCCAGAAAUUUAGAAGAGAAAUAGCCAAAAAGUGUUCUCCUGGGAUGACGUUGACUCUAGCCUAGAAGCCUAUGUGCUAAGUCCAUUGCAGGACCAAUCACAGAAGGUCAUGGACCAAUACAGGACCAAUCACAGAAGGUCAUGGAUCAAUACAGGACCAAUCACAGAAGGUCAUGGAUCAAUACAGGACCAAUCACAGAAGGUCAUGGACCAAUACAGGACCAAUCACAGAAGGUCAUGGAUCAAUACAGGACCAAUCACCGAAGGACGUGGGCAACAUUUUCCAAGCCACAAAUAGAUCUGCCAAGGGUGGAAGCCUUACUGGCUCAAAAGGCUUCAGUACAACCUCUGACCAACCGCUGGGUGAACAAUAAGCCACACUAAAGCAGGGGCAACCAUAAGCCGCUCUGACCAGGGACAUUAGAAAUUCAGCUGGUGUAGACCGGCAGCUGCAGCUCUAUUUGACCCCUAGGCUGGGAACUUCUGCAUGCUGUGGGUGCAACCCCCACCACCAAAAAAAAACCAAAAAACGAACAAACAAACAAACAAAAAAAAACAAAGAAAGAAAAUGAAAAAAGAAACAAAAUAAAAUAAAAUUCAGUAUCUAUCCAUUAAACCCAUAUUUUCCUAUAGAUUCUAGAGAAACUUGUUCUGAAACAGAAAUUCCUUCUUUUCUUGCAAUUGAUAAUUAUGUGCCAGCCAUUUUCUUAACUAAAGUAUAGGCCAAAAAUACAGCCACAGCUUUGCAGAUACAUGAAGGCACGUUUAUAACUGCAAUGGUUACAGAACCCUGCAGCCUAACGGGAAAAUGUUGCUCAAGGGGUCACUAGAGAAAUCAAAGUAAUAAAAAAAUGUUUGAGAGAAGAAAAUUCUAUAGGCAUGUAAUCAAAUCAAAUUGUAUUUAUACAUUCGAUCUAAAAUCAACUUGUAUGACAGAUCCAAAAGUGUCAGGCACAGCACUAGCCACUAAACAAUUAAAUGUACAUCAAAUAUGAUUAAGCCACAGUCAUUACCCGAGAAGCCCAUUCCAUUAAGGGAGCCAGAUGUGCGAAUGAAAACCAGUUGUUCUGGGACACAUGUUCCCAGAAUAACAGCGGACAGGGUAAGACAGACAUUGCCCCCCAAGUGUUAUUGAAAGAGAGAGGGAGCAAUUAAUUCUGCAUCCUUAGGAACUGGAGUUAGGAUUGAUAAAUUUGAGUAAGGCUUGGAGUUCCCUGGUUGGCCUAGCAGUUAGGGAUCUGGUGUUGUCCCUGCUGUGGCUCAGUUUCAACCCCUGGCCCUGGAAAUUCUGCAUGCCACAGGUGCAGCAAAAAAAAAAAAAAAAAAAAAAAA